UACGUAGGCAGCAAGCGUUGUUCGGAGUUACUGGGCGUAAAGGGUGUGUAGGCGGUUGCUUAAGUUUGGUGUGAAAUCUCCCGGCUCAACUGGGAGGGUGCGCCGAAUACUGAGUGACUCGAGUGCGGGAGAGGAAAGUGGAAUUCCAGGUGUAGCGGUGAAAUGCGUAGAUAUCUGGAGGAACACCGGUGGUGUAGACGGCUUUCUGGACCGUAACUGACGCUGAGACACGAAAGCGUGGGUAGCAAACGGG
rnacentral:rRNA from 1 species